UUAAGCGACUAAGCGUACACGGUGGAUGCCCUGGCAGUCAGAGGCGAUGAAGGACGUGCUAAUCUGCGAAAAGCGUCGGUAAGGUGAUAUGAACCGUUAUAACCGGCGAUGUCCGAAUGGGGAAACCCAGUGCAAUUCGUUGCACUAUCGUUAACUGAAUACAUAGGUUAACGAGGCGAACCGGGGGAACUGAAACAUCUAAGUACCCCGAGGAAAAGAAAUCAACCGAGAUUCCCCCAGUAGCGGCGAGCGAACGGGGAGCAGCCCAGAGUCUGAAUCAGCUUGUGUGUUAGUGGAACGGUCUGGAAAGUCCGACGGUACAGGGUGAUAGUCCCGUACACCAAAAUGCACAGGCUGUGAACUCGAAGAGUAGGGCGGGACACGUGGUAUCCUGUCUGAAUAUGGGGGGACCAUCCUCCAAGGCUAAAUACUCCUGACUGACCGAUAGUGAACCAGUACCGUGAGGGAAAGGCGAAAAGAACCCCGGCGAGGGGAGUGAAAAAGAACCUGAAACCGUGUACGUACAAGCAGUGGGAGCACCUUCGGGUGUGACUGCGUACCUUUUGUAUAAUGGGUCAGCGACUUAUAUUCUGUAGCAAGGUUAACCGUAUAGGGGAGCCGCAGGGAAACCGAGUCUUAACUGGGCGUUAAGUUGCAGGGUAUAGACCCGAAACCCGGUGAUCUAGCCAUGGGCAGGUUGAAGGUUGGGUAACACUAACUGGAGGACCGAACCGACUAAUGUUGAAAAAUUAGCGGAUGACUUGUGGCUGGGGGUGAAAGGCCAAUCAAACCGGGAGAUAGCUGGUUCUCCCCGAAAGCUAUUUAGGUAGCGCCUCGUGAACUCAUCUUCGGGGGUAGAGCACUGUUUCGGCUAGGGGGUCAUCCCGACUUACCAACCCGAUGCAAACUACGAAUACCGAAGAAUGUUAUCACGGGAGACACACGGCGGGUGCUAACGUCCGUCGUGAAGAGGGAAACAACCCAGACCGCCAGCUAAGGUCCCAAAGUCAUGGUUAAGUGGGAAACGAUGUGGGAAGGCACAGACAGCCAGGAUGUUGGCUUAGAAGCAGCCAUCAUUUAAAGAAAGCGUAAUAGCUCACUGGUCGAGUCGGCCUGCGCGGAAGAUGUAACGGGGCUAAACCAUGCACCGAAGCUGCGGCAGCGACACUAUGUGUUGUUGGGUAGGGGAGCGUUCUGUAAGCCUGCGAAGGUGUGCUGUGAGGCAUGCUGGAGGUAUCAGAAGUGCGAAUGCUGACAUAAGUAACGAUAAAGCGGGUGAAAAGCCCGCUCGCCGGAAGACCAAGGGUUCCUGUCCAACGUUAAUCGGGGCAGGGUGAGUCGACCCCUAAGGCGAGGCCGAAAGGCGUAGUCGAUGGGAAACAGGUUAAUAUUCCUGUACUUGGUGUUACUGCGAAGGGGGGACGGAGAAGGCUAUGUUAGCCGGGCGACGGUUGUCCCGGUUUAAGCAUGUAGGCUGAUUGUCCAGGCAAAUCCGGAUAAUCAAGGCUGAGGUGUGAUGACGAGGCACUACGGUGCUGAAGUAACAAAUGCCCUGCUUCCAGGAAAAGCCUCUAAGCAUCAGGUAACAUUAAAUCGUACCCCAAACCGACACAGGUGGUCAGGUAGAGAAUACCAAGGCGCUUGAGAGAACUCGGGUGAAGGAACUAGGCAAAAUGGUGCCGUAACUUCGGGAGAAGGCACGCUGGUGUGUAGGUGAAGUCCCUGCGGAUGGAGCUGAGACCAGUCGAAGAUACCAGCUGGCUGCAACUGUUUAUUAAAAACACAGCACUGUGCAAACACGAAAGUGGACGUAUACGGUGUGACGCCUGCCCGGUGCCGGAAGGUUAAUUGAUGGGGUUAUCCGUAAGGAGAAGCUCUUGAUCGAAGCCCGGUAAACGGCGGCCGUAACUAUAACGGUCCUAAGGUAGCGAAAUUCCUUGUCGGGUAAGUUCCGACCUGCACGAAUGGCGUAAUGAUGGCCAGGCUGUCUCCACCCGAGACUCAGUGAAAUUGAACUCGCUGUGAAGAUGCAGUGUACCCGCGGCAAGACGGAAAGACCCCGUGAACCUUUACUAUAGCUUGACACUGAACAUUGAGCCUUGAUGUGUAGGAUAGGUGGGAGGCUUUGAAGCGUGGACGCCAGUCUGCGUGGAGCCAACCUUGAAAUACCACCCUUUAAUGUUUGAUGUUCUAACGUUGGCCCCUGACCGGGGUUGCGGACAGUGUCUGGUGGGUAGUUUGACUGGGGCGGUCUCCUCCCAAAGCGUAACGGAGGAGCACGAAGGUUAGCUAAUCCGGUCGGACAUCAGGAGGUUAGUGCAAUGGCAUAAGCUAGCUUGACUGCGAGCGUGACGGCGCGAGCAGGUGCGAAAGCAGGUCAUAGUGAUCCGGUGGUUCUGAAUGGAAGGGCCAUCGCUCAACGGAUAAAAGGUACUCCGGGGAUAACAGGCUGAUACCGCCCAAGAGUUCAUAUCGACGGCGGUGUUUGGCACCUCGAUGUCGGCUCAUCACAUCCUGGGGCUGAAGUAGGUCCCAAGGGUAUGGCUGUUCGCCAUUUAAAGUGGUACGCGAGCUGGGUUUAGAACGUCGUGAGACAGUUCGGUCCCUAUCUGCCGUGGGCGCUGGAGAAUUGAGGGGGGCUGCUCCUAGUACGAGAGGACCGGAGUGGACGCAUCACUGGUGUUCGGGUUGUCAUGCCAAUGGCACUGCCCGGUAGCUAAAUGCGGAAGAGAUAAGUGCUGAAAGCAUCUAAGCACGAAACUUGCCCCGAGAUGAGUUCUCCCUGAGACUUUAAGUCUCCUGAAGGAACGUUAAAGACGAUGACGUUGAUAGGCCGGGUGUGUAAGCGCAGCGAUGCGUUGAGCUAACCGGUACUAAUGAACCGUGAGGCUUAACCU
rnacentral:rRNA from 1 species